AACUUUGCCCAUGUUGGAGCUAGAGAAGAUGGAAGCAAAGCUCUCCAAAAAGCUCUCAAUACCAUUGUAAACUUUGUGUUUGGAUUGAAUUUUUCCUUCUUUUUUGUACCCUUUCAUUUCUUUCAUGAAGUCUCCAAACCUAUCCAAGUAUGUGCCCACCAAAAACCCUUCCAUCCCUACCUCUUUUCCCACCAUGUUUAGCAAGUUCC
rnacentral:lncRNA from 1 species